CCUACGGGAGGCAGCAGUGGGGAAUAUUGGACAAUGGGGGGAACCCUGAUCCAGCCAUGCCGCGUGUGUGAAGAAGGCCCUCGGGUUGUAAAGCACUUUCAGUGAGGAAGAACGCCUGGUGGUUAAUACCCAUCAGGAAAGACAUCACUCACAGAAGAAGCACCGGCUAACUCCGUGCCAGCAGCCGCGGUAAUACGGAGGGUGCGAGCGUUAAUCGGAAUUACUGGGCGUAAAGCGAGCGUAGGUGGCUUGAUAAGCCGGUUGUGAAAGCCCCGGGCUCAACCUGGGAACGGCAUCCGGAACUGGCAAGCUAGAGUGCAGGAGAGGAAGGUAGAAUUCCCGGUGUAGCGGUGAAAUGCGUAGAGAUCGGGAGGAAUACCAGUGGCGAAGGCGGCCUUCUGGACUGACACUGACACUGAGGUGCGAAAGCGUGGGUAGCAAACAGGAUUAGAUACCCGUGUAGUC
rnacentral:rRNA from 1 species